rnacentral:rRNA from 1 species
CCUACGGGAGGCUGCAGUGGGGAAUAUUGCACAAUGGGCGCAAGCCUGAUGCAGCCAUGCCGCGUGUGUGAAGAAGGCCUUCGGGUUGUAAAGCACUUUCAGCGGGGAGGAAGGCGGUGAGGUUAAUAACCUCAUCGAUUGACGUUACCCGCAGAAGAAGCACCGGCUAACUCCGUGCCAGCAGCCGCGGUAAUACGGAGGGUGCAAGCGUUAAUCGGAAUUACUGGGCGUAAAGCGCACGCAGGCGGUCUGUCAAGUCGGAUGUGAAAUCCCCGGGCUCAACCUGGGAACUGCAUUCGAAACUGGCAGGCUAGAGUCUUGUAGAGGGGGGUAGAAUUCCAGGUGUAGCGGUGAAAUGCGUCGAGAUCUGGAGGAAUACCGGUGGCGAAGGCGGCCCCCUGGACAAAGCCUGACGCUCAGGUGCGAAAGCGUGGGGAGCAAACAGGAUUAGAUACCCCGGUAGUC